rnacentral:rRNA from 1 species
CAGUCGCCGCGGGAAUACGAAGGGGGCUAGCGUUGUUCGGAUUUACUGGGCGUAAAGGGCGCGUAGGCGGACUGAUAAGUCAGGGGUGAAAUCCCAAGGCACAACCUUGGAACUGCCUUUGAUACUGUUUGUCUUGAGUUCGAGAGAGGUAAGUGGAACUGCGAGUGUAGAGGUGAAAUUCGUAGAUAUUCGCAAGAACACCAGUGGCGAAGGCGGCUUACUGGCUCGAAACUGACGCUGAGGCGCGAAAGCGUGGGGAGCAAACAGGAUUAGAUACCCCCGUAGUCCCUGUCUCUUAUAC